CCUACGGGUGGCAGCAGUGGGGAAUAUUGGACAAUGGGCGAAAGCAUGAUCCAGCCAUGCCGCGUGUGUGAAGAAGGCCUUCGGGUUGUAAAGCACUUUCAGUGGGGAAGAAAGCCUUGGGGCUAAUACCCUCGAGGAAGGACAUCACCCACAGAAGAAGCACCGGCUAACUCCGUGCCAGCAGCCGCGGUAAUACGGAGGGUGCGAGCGUUAAUCGGAAUUACUGGGCGUAAAGCGCGCGUAGGCGGUCUGAUAAGCCGGUUGUGAAAGCCCCGGGCUCAACCUGGGAACGGCAUCCGGAACUGUCCGGCUAGAGUGCAGGAGAGGAAGGUAGAAUUCCCGGUGUAGCGGUGAAAUGCGUAGAGAUCGGGAGGAAUACCAGUGGCGAAGGCGGCCUUCUGGACUGACACUGACGCUGAGGUGCGAAAGCGUGGGUAGCAAACAGGAUUAGAUACCCGAGUAGUC
rnacentral:rRNA from 1 species